GUUAUGAUUGAGCCUCAUGGCUCUGCUACUGGCAGACGUGGGCGUAAGACUCCUCGAGAGUCAGAUACUCUCGAGGAGCGAGAAAGAAAGAGGCUGCGAGAUAUCUUUGCAGAACCAUCUGACGAAGAGUCUUUUGAGGGGUUUACAGAGAGAAUGGAGGAAGAGCUGGUUAGCUCGGAAGAGGAUGAGAUGGAUUGGACUCGGGUAAGGGAGGAGUUGGGUGCCACUGGCAAUGAUGGGAUGGAAGAUGAUUGGGGACCUUCAGGAUUAGACCCAUGGACAAGCUGGAGGGAUGGGACGGGAUCCACAGCUGGGGAUGCUGUGGGGCGUAGUCAGAGGUGUUCCAGCUCUGAUGAGGAAAGUGAUGAGGAAACGCCCGGGUUAAGGAGGGCAGCUGAUAGUGAUGAGGACUUGUAACUGGCAUAAAAUGGGGCUUGGGAGCAAUUGCAAAUUGCGUUGGGCAAGGUAAUCUGGACGAACGCUUGGGAUCUGUGUGGGACGUUUUCCUGAAGACGGGUGUGUUUUCGUGUGCUGAUACCUUUGACCUUCCGUCGUCUUCUUGACGGACGCCAUCUGCUGCUCUGGAUUUACGGACUGAACUGACUACGGAAUCGGUAUCUCCUAUUGGACUUGGUGAACUGCAAACGUCUGAUUCUACCUAAUUGACCUUCGGAAAGAACUGGGACUACUCUACUGCUUCAAUCCUCGGCUGCUGCGUUUGUAUUGGGAAUUUGCCUUGCUGUGUGAAGGAGUGACUCUGUGUUACUCAAAACAUAGUGCUGGCAGCAGAGAGGCAUCUGCUGCCAAUUACAGUAGAGUCUCACUUAUCCAACACUCGCUUAUCCAACGUUCUGGAUUAUCCAACGCAUUUUUGUAGUCAAUGCUUUCAAUAUAUCGUGAUAUUUUGGUGCUAAAUUCAUAAAUACAGUAAUUUCUACAUAGAAUUACUGUGUAUUGAACUACUUUUUCUUCCAAAUUUGUUGUCUAACAUGAUGUUUUGGUCCUUAAUUUGUAAAAUCAUAACUUAAUUUGAUGUUUAAUAGGCUUAUCCUUAAUCCCUCCUUAUUAUCCAACAUAUUCGCUUAUCCAACAUUCUGCCGGCCCGUUUAUGUUGGAUAAGUGAGACUCUACUGUAGUUACAUUCUUUUGAACUCUUUGUUUCCCAGCUUCUGUUUUGUUUACUCCCAGGCUGAAGCAAGCUGUUUUGAUUUUACCCGGAUUAAACUCCGGUUUAAUCCGGUUUAUCUUUUGAACGUUUUUCCUUGCCCCUUUUUGCUUUUAAAGGCUAAAGUUGCCUAGCCCUUGUCUUUUACGGGCAUUUUGAGUUCUGUAAAUCCAAUAAACUCUGUUAUCUUUGA